CCAUACUACGGUGAAUACGUUCUCGAGUUUUGUACUCACCGCCCGUCAACUCAAGGGAGCCGGGAAUACCCGACGUCCGCGUUUUUCGCGGCCCACGGUAAGUUCGGUGACAGGGAGU
rnacentral:rRNA from 1 species